rfam:Aureimonas sp. Leaf324 contig_14, whole genome shotgun sequence.
CCUCGUCGAUCUGCUGCGGGCAGAUGAAGUGGAUGUGGCUGUCGAUGCCGCCGGCGGUGACGAUCUUGCCCUCGCCCGCGAUCGCCUCGGUGCCGGGGCCGACGACGAUGGUGACGCCCGGCUGCGUGUCCGGGUUGCCGGCCUUGCCGAUGGCCGCGAUGCGUCCGCCGCGAAGGCCGAUAUCGGCCUUGUAGAUGCCGGAGUGGUCGAGAAUCAGCGCGUUGGUGAUGACGGUGUCGACCGCCCCCUCGGCUCGGCUUCGCUGCGACUGGCCCAUGCCGUCGCGGA